UUACACCAGUGACAGGGCUCCUCCUGCCCCACCAGGCCUUGGUGUGAUCCAUGACUUGCUCUCAAGCUCACAGCACUUCCAGGUGGCUUCUGGGUGCUCCCAAAAUGGGUCUGUUUGGGAGGGUGGGCACUAAAGGGGACUCGGGGCACGGGUCUCUUGGUGGCACAGGGUCUCCUUGGUUAGGGCAGUGCUUGUGAUGGGCUGUGUCCCCACUGGGCUGCUCUGAGGGCUGGGAAGUGCUGAGCAGCCUGCUCACAUCCCCCCUGGCAGGUCAGAUCCUCUCUGCACUGACAUUCUUGGCCUUCUCACCUGGGGCACAGCUCAGGUGUCUUCUCCCAGCUCUCUGUCUCAUAGAAUUCCAGAAUGGUUUGGGUUGGAGGGACCUUAAAGCUCAUCUCAUUCCACCCCCUGCCGUGGGCAGGGUCACCUUCCACAUUCCCAGGUUGCUCCAAGCAAAGAUGGCAAGGGUCAGACACUCACCCUCACUUUGGGGAAGGAGCAUUUGCCCUCCUGCAGGUGCCACUGAGCCUGGGGAGGUGACAGAUCACGUAAGACAUGCAGGUGUCCAGAGCUGUGCACAAACACUGUAGGAGAGCUGAUAGGGCUGAAAUCAACCCCAAAGUGCAGGGAAAAUAACCUUGGCAGGGCGAUGUGUGUGUGUGAAACACUCAGGGCCUUGUUCUUGUGGAGACAGGGCACACACAGGUCUGUCAUGGCUGACAGGGCACACACAGGUCUGUCAUGGCAGAGACAGGGCACACACAGGUCUGUCAUGGCAGAGACAGGGCACACACAGGUCUGUCAUGGCAGAGACAGGACACACACAGGUCUGUCAUGGCUGACAGGGCACACACAGGUCUGUCAUGGCAGAGACAGGACACACACGGGUCUGUAGUGGCUGACAGGGCACACACAGGUCUGUCAUGGCAGACAGGGCACACACAGGUCUGUCAUGGCAGAGACAGGGCACACACAGGUCUGUCAUGGCUGACAGGGCACACACAGGUCUGUUGUGGCAGAGACAGGGCACACACAGGUCUGUUGUGGCAGAGACAGGGCACACACAGGUCUGUCAUGGCAGACAGGGCACACACAGGUCUGUCAUGGCAGACAGGGCACACACAGGUCUAUCAUGUCUGAGACAGGGCACACACGGGUCUGUAGUGGCUGACAGGGCACACAGAGGUCUCUCAUGGCUCUGUGGCAGCUCAGGGUGUGGGAAUGGCCCCAGUGACCCCCCGA